CGCUCCACAUCCUCCUCUAACCUCACGCCCUCUCCCAUCCCCCCCGCCACCUCCUGCUACAGCUCCUCCUCUGCGCCGGCCUCCUCGCUCCCGUCCUCGUCGCCAACCGCACUCUGCCGCACCGCUGCACCGCCGUCCUCUUCCUCGCAUGAGGCUAGCAUCCUCGUCCCUCGGCGGCUGGGUAGCAGGAGAUCCGUUCAUGUCGCCGCCGCCGUCGCGAGCGAACGCUCGCGCCCCUCGCGUCGCCUCCUGCCUCAAGAUCCACCUCGGCCCGCCGCGCCUUCACCAUGAGCAGCACCGCCUCCGCCUCGCGAGGUAGAGGCCACGGUCUCCCGAAGCAGCAGCACAUGAUGUGUUGAUGUCGUCGUCGCCAGGAGCUGGUCAAAUCGUGGCGACCCCGGAGUUUUGGCGGCUCAUCACCGGACCUCGCCGGUGGGCAGAGGCCUCUGCUGCAGUUCACGCCCUCCUCAUUCAUCUUGGACCAAGGUGGGGGGUGAGCAACCUAUUUCCUCAGCGACGGUGGAGGAUACGACCAAGUGACGUUCCUGGGACCUUGUUUUGCUUUGGACCUACCUGCACAAUCUGUCUGGUGAAAUGGCAGCAGGUUCCAGAUUCAUUUGUCUCAUCUGAUACACAAACAGUUGUACAUGGACAUCUUCUUUGGCAGCUGAUUUAUCUCCUGACCAUCUUCUUCGGUAGUAGCCCGCUCAUCUCCACCUGUACAGUGUCUCUCUGGUUGGAUGGGAGAUUUUUGGACAAGCAGAUAUAAAUUUGCAGGAAACAUCAGAUAAGAUGUCGUGGUAGUGGUACUUGUCAUACAGUUAGUGUUCUUAUGCAAAAUAAGCUUAUUGAUGGUGGAAAACCUAGAGACAGGAUUGAGAUCACUGGGAUAUACAGGGCAUGAGUAUCAGAACUGAACCAAGCUAGAUGUAGUGAAGUCAAUACUCAAGGUAGAGGCGUUAAAUCAUGCUACAAUUUGCCAACAAUCUCCUUCUUCAAACAGACAUACAAAUCUAGGCUUGAUAUUGAGGACUCUAUGGAUACCAGCACCAGAAAGUCUUCUGAAGGCCACUUUGUCAGAGUUAAGAUUGACAAUAUCAUUGGCUCUGAACAUCUUGGAAUUGUGUGGUGUUAAUAUGGGCCUCCUCUGCCAUGUAUUUUCAAGCAAUAUAUUUUGCUUUCCCCUAAGAGGAUCAUCUCAUAAGCUAAUAGCUUAACACUAGCGUAUAGAUUUUUGGUGGCAAUGCUUUGAGGCUUCCUUCUGGAUGCUAACUUCAGAGGUGACAUCGAUUAAAUCUCAGCUUCUCCAGUACAUGCAUAAACUAUCUCCUCGUGGUAUUUACACAAGCAGAAGAGGCAGUUCAACCAUUGGCCUCACUGAUUAUGUUGCUGCAUCUGGUUGCCGGCGAGGUGUGAGCGGCGGCCGCUGCAUUUUCGACAGAUUGGUCUUGAGGGAAUGAGUAGAAAAAAAUGAUUUGGUGAGUCAUUGGAUUGGCUCAGUUUAUUUGAUAAGGCGGAAAAUAACUCAAUAAAAUACAUCUUUUUGGUUAUGGGAAUAGCCAUUUACGUUUUCUUGAUGUGGUACUGAUGUCCAGACAGUUUCCUUUAUUUUUUCUUCAAAGGUAAUUGCCUUUGUCUAUAUUUUGUCUGCUGCUGUUGUCGUUCCUAGAUUGCACAUUUCAUGGAUUUUUUUUUUGCAAUGCGGGCUUAGUUUAUAGUCAUAAUGUUGAGCUGAUUGUUUGAGAGAUAAUAUCUAUUAUUUUAGUCCUAUGAAGCAGCAAGUUGCUUCUCUGGAUGUUCUCCACAUGAAUACUAUGGGUUUGAUUUUAAUCAUGAUAUGGAUAUUUGUUUCAGUUAUGGUAUGGUUUGUCGUAUAAAAAACAAAAGAAUAUUCUUCAGCCUUUAGUUUGUUCAUGUGAUUCACAACUGUUAUUACCAUGCGUGCAUGCUAUUUAAUAUGUGGUCGGAAAAUAUAGUUUUCUUCUGUUUCUAAUGAAAUUAUGGUUCUAUUAGCCAACACAUUUUCACCCUUAAUAAAUCAGGGAUAAUCUAAUGGUCUUCUAUAUGGUUGCCUUAAAUACCAAGCCAAAAAGCUUUUCUUUCUUCUCUUUCUGAUUUCACUGAAUUUCUUUCAGAAGUAUUAUACCAUGAUGUGCUCUGAUGGAUGGACAUGGCAAAGAAAAAAAGAUAGCCUACCGUUGGUUGGUUCAUAUUUGACCUGAUUAAUUAAUUUGUGAAUGAGCAGUUAGGUUGUGAAAUAUUGUGACCCCACCUCGAGUAAAAUUAUAAUGCUUGUGAACACAAAAAUAUAAAGCUCCAGUAAUCCAAGGCAACUCCUCUGUACGUUUGGAUCUGGGGAUUGAUGGGAGAUUUAACAUGGCUGGCCUCGAUGGUUCGGGUUUGUACCCAAAAUCUCCUCCUUCUAUUGUCUGCUUGAUUUCUAACUGAAAUCCGAGGGCCUAAUGUCUUCAACUUGGUGCACUGGGAUUAUUUCGAUCUAUAUGUAUAUACGAGAGGUUGAGGCAAUCCUUUGGAUUAUGGGCAUUGGUUUGCAUAUGGGGUCACUGACAUUUUUUUAGUUUAAAAUUUCAUGGUUUGUUUUGGUCAAUGAGUUGUGAUUACUUUACUUCAAAACCUUCUGGUUUUGUUGCAGUGCUGAAGAGAAGAGCAGGUCAGAGAGGAUGCAAAUCAAUGUGGUGAGGACCGGCUGUUGUUGCAGGGAUGCUCGCGGAAGUGCAGUCAUAGGGCUUGGCGGACUAGCAUCACUGGUUGGUGGAGGAGAAGAAGACAAAUGGCGUUCUUGGAGUUCACUAAGUUUGUGGGGCCGGCACACAUCAGCGACCGAGGGCUGCUCGAGAUAUCAUCCAUGGCAUUACUUGCAAUCUGACCUCUGUCUUGCUAUGGGGAUUGGUCUGGAUCAUUUACAAGGGCAUUGUUCGUCCGGUAUAUAGUCCAUCGAACUUGAUUUUUUUCUUCAUUAUUUUACCAUAUCAAUGUGUAUGCCAUAUUUACAUAUAAAAAUGCCAACUAGAUGUUGUUUUCAUCGACCUAUCUAUUGGCUAUUACUGUCAUAGUGUAGAAGAAGGAUUUGGUUACUGUAUUUUGUGGUCGGAUGUUUUCACCUAUGCUAUUAAGUUGCUUUGAGAACAAUUCAUUGUACAUGUCAAGCAAUGUGUGAAUGGAGCGGUGCGUUGUACUUGUCAUGGUGGAGCGCAUGCUGCUCGAGACGGAUCCUGUGGCAUUACCAUCGUAACCGUAAUUUUUAGGACCAGUUUAAGAUGAGUUACCUAGAUGAAUGAGUGGUGUUGAUAAAAUAUCAUUGGUCUCUUGUCUGAUGGGGGAGCUCUAAUCAAGCUAUCUAUACUUAUGUUGUUCUAUCAAGAAUUAACUGAACAAAUAAAUGCAGGUGAUGUUAUUCCCUACAGCCCUGACUCUUUUUCAAAUACUUUUGCUGGGUGCAUGUCAAGUAAGUGAGCUAAUAAUUUUUUGUUCUUUAGGGCUCAGAAUCUAUGUUGUUAGGUCCAGAGUGUCCAUAGAUCAACCUUACAGAAAUGCCUUAUAUAUAUAGCAACGUUUGCCUGUCAUCAAAAAUAGCACACCGAAUUAGAGGAGAGGGUUGUAGAUUAAAGACAUGUAGGAUUAUUCAGUGUAGAGUCCCCCCCAAUAUCUAAGUAAUAUUGUUUGUCUUACAACUCACACCUAGACUAUUGCUUCAUUCCCUUCUUGUGGCAUUUUGUUGCAUCUAAUCAUUUUAUUAUAUCUACGCCUUAAAUUUCUUGCUCUGAUAAGCCAGGGAUAGACAAUGUUUUGAGCUAUUUCUACUGCUUUUCUGAAAAAAACUUUUAUUAUUUCAGUACAUAUACCAAUUCUUUGGUUGGUUUGUGUUACAAGAAAUGGAAAAUGGUUCUUCUUUGGAUUCCGGAAGAACUAGACAAUGGCAUGUUUUUCCAGUUUUCAGUCAAUAAGAACAGUAUCAGUUAAACUGUGUUCUUAUCAUUUUACACCUCUGUGUUGGCAUUUUUGCUUUUUUAGCUGUUUAGAGACGUUUCCCUUCCACUAUUGUCUUUGUGGUUGAAUCUAUACAGGAUUUCAACUCUAAAAUAGUGUACAUUGGGAGUAAAACCUUACUUUCUGGUAGUUAUAGUAUAGAUCAGUUAAUGCUGCCCACUUAAAAAUUUCACUUCUUAAAUUCGAAUAUGAUCUCUAUUGGUUUUUCCUAAUGAUACUUCUGUAUUGAUAUUCCAGGCCAUGGUCUACCUUUCAGUAUGACUAAUUAUGAAAAGGAUAUCUUUGGAACGUUGUCACUUUAGUUUUCUCUGAUAGAUGUGAUUUCCUGGAUAUUGGUGGUCUCUAUUAUUGACGUGUUCAAGGUCAAAUGAAGGAUUCACAUGUGCUCAAUUAUGUACACGGAGGUUGGAGGUGUGCACCUAAGGUGUUUGAGUAAAUUCCCGAGCAGCUCUGAGAGAGCAACCACAAGAUGAAGCGGUGCUCAGCUGAAGAAAACCUGGUUAGUUAUGAGGCUGCUCAACAGGUUCGAACUCAAACAGUAUAUUCAUUUUACAGUUCCUUAUCCGCCUUCACUUAGAAGGCAAUAUAUUUGGAUUUCUCUUCAGAACCAUCCAAGCAAGUUGCAGGGGAAGAUUAAUCUCAAAUCAAUGAAACAUAUCGAGUGCUCCAUGUAGUUGUUUGUAUUUUGCAAUUCUUAUUAUAUGUUUGAACAUAAUAUAUUGUCUCAAGUAUGCUGCCACUUCAUUUAAUGUUUUUUAAAAUCAUGGUGACACUUCUUCGAAGGCUAAGCCAACGGUUAGUUUAUAAGAAUCAAUUUUACGACUUCAAGUACUUAACGAAUCUGUAGCUUGCUAGCCCCCCUUUGCCUAGACUAAUCCAAUUUUAGCUUGUGUUGUUGUCAGUAGGUUCAGCUAGAGGAAGUACUCCGGCGUGCUAGCUUACAUGUGCAUGUUAUAAAGUUCGGCUUUAUUUUCUUUACAAACAAUGGAUUUCUGCCAGAUAUAUUCAGUAUGAGACUGACAAAGCUGAAACUCUGUCACCCAGUGACAAGGUAAAACUUCGACAGAAAAGGCCUUAUUUUUCCAACAAUGAUUACCAUGGAAAACUUUAUUAAGUGAGACUUGAUUUAGUAUAUGGCAUAAUAAUCAACAGAAAGAUAUUAUACAUACUAAUGCUAUCACUUGUUCUGUGAGCGUUGUAAGUCAUCCUAUUUUUGUCACUCUAGAACUAACAAAAACGGUGUAACCGUCUCACAGAAUUCUAUAACUACAGUUGAAUGGAGAAUAAAUGAUUUAUUUUUACUAGGCAAUGUCCCAAAUUUCCAUGGUUGGGCCAGUGAAGGACUUAGACAUGCAUGUGGUAGCAAUAGAGUAUGGCUUGAUUUGUUCUAUUCGUGGGAAUGCCAUAGUGGACAUGGUGAUUGCCGAUUAUGUUUCCAAUGCCAUCUCUGAAUUUAUUAACAAAUAUUUACAUGGGACUAUUUAGCUGACCGGACUGUAAUUUAGAAAUGCUUAGAGCCUAGCCACGCAUAUAAAAGGACACGGUGUGAUCUGAAUAAUUAAUUGGUUAUACAGUUUAUUUAUGGUGGUUGUUUCAAAACAUAUUUAUUCGUAUGAUAGUGUCCUCACUAGGAGGCAUAAAAGGCAAAGUAUGAUCAUCUCAGGAGGCGCUCCUAUACUAAACCACUUCUUAUCCUUGACAAUACAUGUUGUUGCUCAAGUAUGUCUAGAGGUAAUAUUUUCUUUUUGGGAUGAUGGGAAUGGAAGCAAAAUUAGUGUGGCCUCCUGUAGCUCUAAGUUGAACAAAAUAACGGUGGAUACACUAAUUUUACAGCAUUCCAAGUGAAGCCUCAAUUGCUCAUAAUUACUUGAUUUCGGGGCAUACAAUUAUCUACCCGUAGGCAUCAGCUGAUACAUAGAAUUUGAGAAGAGGCAUCAUUGUGUGAUCCCUUGCUCGGAACACUCGGGGUUCCUCUCUUCAUGGUUUUCAUUGUCCUAGACCCUAGGUGAGUUGUUAUAACUAUUUGUUUCUUAGAAUCUAGGUCAAGAUUCAUCUUACUUUGAAUCAAGAUUCUGAUCUGAUUGCACUUUGUGGUGUUUAUCAUGAGACUGAAAUGGUUAUUCUAGGUUACUUGGACUGAUAAAUGGAGAUUGAGCCAGUAAUGUAUCAAGAUUCUGAUCUUCUUUUGUGGAGAUUGAGCCAGUCUUUGAAUCUUCCAUCUUGAAGUUGGGGGGCAUUCUUGAGAUUAAUUGUGGGAAGUUACAAAAAAGGGUUGGGAAAGGAGUAGCCGAAUUGAUGAAGGGGGUAUACAUUCACUAGCUACAAUGAGAUCUCUGAAGUUGAUGGAAUCCCAAAUCAAACAUGGGAGGAUUGCGACGACGUUGCUCUUGCGGAUUUUAUUAGCUCGAUUUUACCAACAUUAUUCCUUUUGUAGAUAGCCCAGCUUAUGUAGAUGUUUCUAUGUUAUUCCUUUCUUCUAUUGCUCCUGACAUAGCCAUCAAGUUUUUGAUACUAUGAUAUAUUUCUCUGUUUUCAUGGUGUAUAUAAAAGUUUCCUACUUCGUUUGUAACUUCGUGUGAUUUAUCGUAAGAUUAUCAUAUCAAUUUGGUUUUUUGAAACCUAAUAAAUAAAUUAUCAU